rnacentral:rRNA from 1 species
CCCUUAGAUGUUCUGGGCUGCACGCGCGCUACACUGAAGCGUUCAACGAGUAUUUCACCUUGCCCGGGAGGGUUGGGUAAUCUUUUUAAAACGCUUCGUGAUGGGGAUAGAUUAUUGCAAUUAUUAAUCUUCAACGAGGAAUUCCUAGUAAGCGCGAGUCAUCAGCUCGUGCUGAUUACGUCCCUGCCCUUUGUACACACCGCCCGUCGCUACUACCGAUUGAAUGGCUUAGUGAGGCUUCCGGAUUGGUUUAGAGAAGGGGGCAACUCCAUCUUGGAACCGAGAAGCUAGUCAAACUUGGUCAUUUAGAGGAAGUAAAAGUCGUAACA